rnacentral:rRNA from 1 species
AUUGAACGCUGGCGGCAGGCCUAACACAUGCAAGUCGAGCGGAUGACGGGAGCUUGCUCCUUGAUUCAGCGGCGGACGGGUGAGUAAUGCCUAGGAAUCUGCCUGGUAGUGGGGGACAACGUUUCGAAAGGAACGCUAAUACCGCAUACGUCCUACGGGAGAAAGCAGGGGACCUUCGGGCCUUGCGCUAUCAGGUGAGCCUAGGUCGGGUGAGCUAGUUGGUGGGGUAAUGGCUCACCAAGGCGACGAUCCGUACAUGGUCUGAGAGGAUGAUCAGUCACACUGGAACUGGGACGCGGUCCAGACUCCUACGGGGGGGAGCAGUGGGGAAUAUUGGACAAUGGGCGAAAGCCUGAUCCAGCCAUGCCGCGUGUGUGAAGAAGGUCUUCGGAUUGUAAAGCACUUUAAGUUGGGAGGAAGGGCAGUAAGUUAAUACCUUGCUGUUUUGACGUUACCGACAGAAUAAGCACCGGCUAACUCUGUGCCAGCAGCCGCGGUAA